rnacentral:lncRNA from 1 species
CGAUUCUCUUAAUCUACAUCUUCAAGACCACGACUGAUUGAUGAAAGGCCAACAAGAGCAUUAAGCUGUCAGGAGCAAAAGUAAAGCCAUGCACAUCAAUACCCAAACUCAGUAUAUCUUCAAUAAAUGAAUGUUUCCUAACUGACAGUAAAAAGGUACGGUUCCUCACUAUUAUAAAUGUACAUCAUUAUUGCAUCUUCUUAUG